rnacentral:lncRNA from 1 species
UCCUUGGGGGAAAUGGGCAGCUGAAAUUAGAGAUCCUCGCAAGGGGGUUCGUGUCUGGCUUGGAACCUUCAACACUGCCGAAGAAGCUGCACGAGCAUAUGAUGCAGAGGCCCGUAGGAUCCGUGGUAAGAAAGCCAAGGUGAAUUUCCCUGAUGAAGCACCACCGAGUGUUCAAGAGUGCCCACUCAAAUCAAAUGCACCAAAAGCACCCAAGUCAAACCCACAAGAGAUGCUCAAUGUCAACCCAUAUGGGGGUAUGGAUGACCCAGAUUUAGAUUUCUGUUCUGUUUUCGACUAUAUUGAUGACAAGGAACCCGUCAAGCAAUCCAUGAACAUGGACUCCUCUGGGAUGAAUCUAUCUCCACCCAUCGAGGGACCUGCAAUUAAUUUAUACUCUGACCAGGGAAGCAACACUUUUGAUUGUUCUGGAUAUGGCUGGGAAAGUGAGGUUAAAACCCCCAAUAUCACUUCAUUUCUUGCUCCAACCAUGAAUGAAGCUGAAGGAACACCAUACCUGGAACAGGGUGGUCCACUGAAGAAACUGAAAAAUAAUUCUGGAGAAGUUGUGGCUGCCAAGAACUCUGUGGCCAAACUGUCGGAGGAGCUAUCUGCUUUUGAAUCAUACAUGAAAUUUCUGCAAGUACCAUAUCUUGAAGGGGGCUCAGAUGGAUCUAUUGAGAGCCUUCUCGUUAGUGAUGUGCCUCAGGAUGUGAGUGAAGUGGAUCUCUGGAGCUUUGAUGACCUGCCACCAGUGGCGGUCGGCAGUUACUGAGAACAUUGAUAUUCCGCCAAAUAAUGCUCUGUAAAUAAGAUGCGACCGUAAGUUUGUCACACAUUGCUGCAUAAUGUUCUAUUCUAUCCUUUUCGUACGUCUUGAUUUUCUAUUCUUGAAAGGAUCUCUCUCUCUUCUUUUUUCCCUUUUUCAGGAAUCCAUGCUGAUGGAGAUAUGGAGAACAAGACGUAUGAGCUAUGAUCAUAGGUUGGAACGUUGGUUUAUGCUAUUAUGUUAGAUCUUAUGUAUCGUGUUUAUGCUUGCCUUGUGUGUUUUCUUGUUGAGUGCCAAACUUGGACCUUCUUAGUUAGCUUGUGGUUUUGUCGA